AUCCAGCUAACGAGUCUCAGAUAGGACAGAACGCUCGUCCUGGAU
rfam:Schistosoma haematobium scaffold41_1, whole genome shotgun sequence.